rnacentral:rRNA from 1 species
GACGAACGCUGGCGGCGUGCUUAACACAUGCAAGUCGAACGGAAAGGCCCUGCUUUUGUGGGGUGCUCGUGUGGCGAACGGGUGAGUAAAACGUGAGUAACCUGCCCUUGACUUUGGGAUAACUUCAGGAAACUGGGGCUAAUACCGGAUAGGAGCUCCUGCUGCAUGGUGGGGGUUGGAAAGUUUCGGCGGUUGGGGAUGGACUCGCGGCUUACCAGCUUGUUGGUGGGGUAGUGGCUUACCAAGGCUGUGACGGGUAGCCGGCCUGAGAGGGUGACCGGCCACAUUGGGACUGAGAUACGGCCCAGACUCCUACGGGAGGCAGCAGUGGGGAAUAUUGCACAAUGGGCGGAAGCCUGAUGCAGCAACGCCGCGUGCGGGAUGACGGCCUUCGGGUUGUAAACCGCUUUCUCCUGUGACGAAGCGUGAUUGACGGUAAUGGGUAAGGAAGCACCGGCUAACUACGUG